rnacentral:sRNA from 2 species
AUCUACCACUGUUAAUCUAUCUAUCACUGUCAAUCUAUCUAUCACUGCUAAUCUAUUACUGCUAAUCUAUCACUGCUAAUCUAUCACUGCUAAUCUAUCACUGUUAAUCUAUUUACUGCUAUCAAUCUAUCUACUGCUGUCAAUCUAUCUAUCACUGCUAAUCUAUCACUGCUAAUCUAUCACUGUCAAUCUAUCUACCACUGUCAAUCUAUCUACCACUGCUAAUCUAUCACUGCUGUCAAUCUAUAUAGAGUAAAUCAUAAUUCCAUUUGAUUCCAUUUUGUAAAAUGAGAUCAA